rnacentral:lncRNA from 1 species
UUUUCAUUUCCAAAAUAGUAUACUUUUAUUCAAAUGUAAAUUUACAAAGCCCCCCCCCUGAGAUUCCUCCUAAUUACAGAUGGCCCCCACUUUUUUGAGCCUUAUAAAAACUCACACUCCCACACUUGGAGGAGCCCAAGAGCCAAGCAAAUCAAGCAAACCACCAACCCACUCAGCUCAGCUCCAGAUCCACGCGCGGCAAUGGCGCACCAGAUCGCGCUGGUCGUGCUCCUCCUCGUCUCGCCGGCGGCAAUGCGCGCGGCCGCGGCGGCCGGGGCN